GUAUUAUUAUACCCCCCGCAAAUGAAGUUUGGGGGGUAUAUAGGAAUCACCUUGUCCGUCUGUCCAUCUGUCUGUCUGUCUGUCUGUCCGUCUGUCUGUGCAAUCGUGUCCGGUCCAUAUCUUUCUUACAGAGGGACAUUAGAAUCUACUACUCCACACAAAGAUUGCCCAUGACCUAAGGGUGUGUCAUGACCUUGACCCAAGGACAUUUGGGGAAGUUCAAGGUCACUGGAAGAAAAAUUUCAUAAUUCGUGUCCGGUCCAUAUCUUUCUUAUGGAUAAACUUGGUAGGUUCUCAUUUCACACAAAGAUUGCCCAUGACCCAAGGGUGUGUCAUGACCUUGACCCAAGGUCAUUUGGGGAAGUUCAAGGUCACUGGAAGAAAAAUUUCGUAAUUCGUGUCCAGUCCAUAUCUUUCUUAUGGAUAAACUUGGUAGGUUCUCAUUUCACACAAAGAUUGCCCAUGACCUCAGAGUGUGUCAUGACCUUGACCCAAGGUCAUUUGGGGAAGUUCAAGGUCAUUGGAAGAAAAAUUUCAUAAUUCGUGUCUGGUCCAUAUCUUUCUUAUGGAUAAACUUGGUAGGUUCUCAUUUCACACAAAGAUUGCCCAUGACCCAAGGGUGUGUCAUGACCUUGACCCAAGGUCAUUUGGGGAAGUUCAAGGUCAUUGGAAGAAAAAUUUCAAAAUUCGUGUCUGGUCCAUAUCUUUCUUAUGGAUAAACUUGGUAGGUUCUCAUUUCACACAAAGAUUGCCCAUGACCCAAGGGUGUGUCAUGACCUUGACCCAAGGUCAUUUGGGGAAGUUCAAGGUCAUUGGAAGAAAAAUUUCAUAAUUCGUGUCCGGUCCAUAUUUAUGGAUAAACUUGGUAGGUUCUCAUUUCACACAAAGAUUGCCCAUGACCCAAGGGUGUGUCAUGACCUUGACCCAAGGUCAUUUGGGGAAGUUCAAGGUCACUGGAAGAAAAAUUUCAUAAUUCGUGUCCGGUCCAUAUCUUUCUUAUGGAUAAACUUUGUAGGCUCUCAUUUCACACAAAGAUUGCCCAUGGCCCAAGGAUGGGUCAUGACCUUAACCCAAGGUCAUUUGGGGAAGUUCAAGGUCACUAGAAGAAAAAUUUCAUAAUUCGUGUCCGGUCCAUAUCUUUCUUAUGGAUAAACUUUGUAGGCUCUCAUUUCACACAAAGAUUGCCCAUGGCACAAGGGUGUGUCAUGACCUUGACCCAAGGUCAUUUGGGGAAGUUCAAGGACACUGGAAGAAAGAUUUCAUAAUUCGUGUCCUGUCCAUAUCUUUCCUAUGGAUAAACUUGGUAGGUUCUCAUUUCACACAAAGAUUGCCCAUGACCCAAGGGUGUGUCAUGACCUUGACCCAAGGUCAUUUGGGGAAGUUCAAGGUCACUGGAAGAAAAAUUUCAUAAUUCAUGUUUGAUACAUAUCUUUAUUAAGGAAAAACUUACUUCUGAAAAACCCAGCGGGGGGUAUUUUGUCCCGUUUGGAAAGUUCUAGUUAAUGUUUUUUAAUGGCUUUGUUAGAUCUGAAGCACCAAAUCAGGUAUACAUUGUAAAUACAUGUAUAUAAUUGUGUAAGUCAGGAAUACUGUAGACCAACUUUUAUUCGUGUGCAAAAAAUAAACAUGAGUGUCAGGACCUCCCCUCCCCCCCUUUUUUUUCUUUGUUACUGUUGAAACCAUGUAGAAAUUAGUCCCUCUGUGGUUAGCUAUGAAAGAUGCAUUUUAGGCAGACAAAUCAUUAAUAUUAAAUUAAAUUAUUUUUACAUACUGCGGUAUGUAUUUUUAAUUGUAGCAGUCUCAAAAUUGAACAGUACUAAUAACGUAGGUCACACAGUGUUUAAAAGAGAAGCAGAACAAAUGAUAAUUUUUAAGCAAAAGCUAUUUUGCUUUUGUCUCCGUCCCUGAUAAUUAGAAUUGCUUAUGAUGAUUUCUAAAAUGUUCCUUAAUAGGAGACAAAGAAGCAAUAAAAAAAAUGCCAAUGGCUGUGUUGGUUUGCACAUGAACAUUUUAACCUCAUUUUGCCAAAAUCAUACAUUUCAUGUCACCGAACAUUGAAGAACACUUUAUCAAGAUGACAAUUUCCAGCAUGGUUAGUGAAGCUCCUUAACAUGAUAUUCAAACACAUUUUAUACAUAAUCAAAAAGAAUGCUUUUGGCAUAGGAUUAUACAGUGAUUUUAAUCAUCAUGAGCCUGUUAAAAUAUAUGUACACACUGUAUAUAUUUUUAAAUGAUUAUUUCAUCGAAGCUGUCUUUCAGUGAAUAAAUUUUGUGAAAAAAUGCA